GGCAUCGGGACGUAGCAAUACGUUGCCGGCGACCGGCGGGUGGGUGAGUAACGCGUAUGCAACCUGCCCACGACAGGGGGAUAGCCCGUUGAAAGACGGAUUAAUACCCCAUAAAACAGGGGUUCCGCAUGGGACUAUUUGUUAAAGGGUUUUCCGCGAGGGGGAUCCGGUUGUGGAUGGGCAUGCGUUCCAUUAGGCAGUUGGUGGGGUAACGGCUCACCAAACCGACGAUGGAUAGGGGAACCGGGAGGUUGGUCCCCCACACUGGUACUGAGAUACGGACCAGACUCCUACGGGAGGCAGCAGUGAGGAAUUUUGGUCAAUGGACGGAAGUCUGAACCAGCCAAGUCGCGUGAAGGAAGGCGGCCCUAAGGGUUGUAAACUUCUUUUGUAAGGGAAUAAAGGCCGGUACGCGUUACCGGUUUGCAGGUACCUUACGAAUAAGGAUCGGCUAACUC
rnacentral:rRNA from 1 species